CCUACGGGAGGCAGCAGUGAGGAAUAUUGGUCAAUGGGCUUACGCCUGAACCAGCCAAGUCGCGUGAGGGAAGACUGCCCUAUGGGUUGUAAACCUCUUUUGUCAGGGAGCAACGCCGGCUACGUGUAGCCGUUCUGAGAUUACCUGAAGAAAAAGCAUCGGCUAACUCCGUGCCAGCAGCCGCGGUAAUACGGAGGAUGCGAGCGUUAUCCGGAUUUAUUGGGUUUAAAGGGUGCGUAGGCGGAAUGCCAAGUCAGCGGUAAAAUCGCGGGGCUCAACCUCGAUCUGCCGGUGAAACUGGCGUUCUUGAGUGGGCGAGGAGUAUGCGGGAUGCGGGGUGUAGCGGUGAAAUGCAUA
rnacentral:rRNA from 1 species